rnacentral:rRNA from 1 species
AUUACGUCCCUGCCCUUUGUACACACCGCCCGUCGCUACUACCGAUUGAAUGGCUUAGUGAGGUCUCCGGAUUGGCGGUGGGGAGCCGGCAACGGCACCCUAUUGCUGAGAAGCUGAUCAAACUUGGUCAUUUAGAGGAAGUAAAAGUCGUAACAAGGUUUCCGUAGGUGAACCUGCGGAAGGAUCAUUAACGAAUAACUAGAUGUGGUUGUAGCUGGCUUCUAGGAGCAUGUGCACACCCGUCUUCUUAUCUUUCCACCUGUGCACCAAAUGUAGGCUUGGAUAACUCUCGCCCUCGGGCGGAUGCGAGGAUUGUCUUCGGACUCUCCUCGAAUUUCCAAGUCUAUGUCUUUCACAAACCCCAAUGUAAAACGAAGAAUGUAGUCAAUGGGCUUUUAGCCUAUAAACCAAUAUACAACUUUCAGCAACGGAUCUCUUGGCUCUCGCAUCGAUGAAGAACGCAGCGAAAUGCGAUAAGUAAUGUGAAUUGCAGAAUUCAGUGAAUCAUCGAAUCUUUGAACGCAUCUUGCGCUCCAUGGUAUUCCGUGGAGCAUGCCUGUUCGAGUGUCACGUCAAUACUCGCCUCUGUGAUGUCAAAGUCACUUGCGGCGGACUUGGACCGUGCCGUAGUUGGCUCGUCCUGAAAUACAUUAGCUUGCGCUUUUAGAGUGCUGGGCACCGGUGUGAUAAUUAUCUGCGCCAACGCCUCAGGCCUCUUCAGCGGCGCUGCUUAUAGCGGUCCUUGACGGACAAAUACACUUAAAGCUUUGGCCUCCAAUCAGGUAGGACUACCCGCUGAACUUAAGCAUAUCAAUAAGC